rnacentral:rRNA from 1 species
UACAGAGGGGGCGGAGCGUUGUUCGGAAUUACUGGGCGUAAAGGGCGCGUAGGCGGCCAACUAAGUCGGACGUGAAAUCCCCAGGCUCAACUUGGGAACUGCGUCCGAUACUGGAUGGCUUGAAUCCGGGAGAGGGAUGCGGAAUUCCAGGUGUAGCGGUGAAAUGCGUAGAUAUCUGGAGGAACACCGGUGGCGAAGGCGGCAUCCUGGACCGGUA